GGGUUGUGAGGUUAAGCGACUAAGCGUACACGGUGGAUGCCCUGGCAGUCAGAGGCGAUGAAGGACGUGCUAAUCUGCGAAAAGCGUCGGUAAGGUGAUAUGAACCGUUAUAACCGGCGAUGUCCGAAUGGGGAAACCCAGUGUGAUUCGUCACACUAUCGUUAACUGAAUACAUAGGUUAACGAGGCGAACCGGGGGAACUGAAACAUCUAAGUACCCCGAGGAAAAGAAAUCAACCGAGAUUCCCCCAGUAGCGGCGAGCGAACGGGGAGCAGCCCAGAGUCUGAAUCAGCUUGUGUGUUAGUGGAACGGUCUGGAAAGUCCGACGGUACAGGGUGAUAGUCCCGUACACCAAAAUGCACAGGCUGUGAACUCGAAGAGUAGGGCGGGACACGUGGUAUCCUGUCUGAAUAUGGGGGACCAUCCUCCAAGGCUAAAUACUCCUGACUGACCGAUAGUGAACCAGUACCGUGAGGGAAAGGCGAAAAGAACCCCGGCGAGGGGAGUGAAAAAGAACCUGAAACCGUGUACGUACAAGCAGUGGGAGCACCUUCGGGUGUGACUGCGUACCUUUUGUAUAAUGGGUCAGCGACUUAUAUUCUGUAGCAAGGUUAACCGUAUAGGGGAGCCGCAGGGAAACCGAGUCUUAACUGGGCGUUAAGUUGCAGGGUAUAGACCCGAAACCCGGUGAUCUAGCCAUGGGCAGGUUGAAGGUUGGGUAACACUAACUGGAGGACCGAACCGACUAAUGUUGAAAAAUUAGCGGAUGACUUGUGGCUGGGGGUGAAAGGCCAAUCAAACCGGGAGAUAGCUGGUUCUCCCCGAAAGCUAUUUAGGUAGCGCCUCGUGAAUUCAUCUUCGGGGUAGAGCACUGUUUCGGCUAGGGGGUCAUCCCGACUUACCAACCCGAUGCAAACUACGAAUACCGAAGAAUGUUAUCACGGGAGACACACGGCGGGUGCUAACGUCCGUCGUGAAGAGGGAAACAACCCAGACCGCCAGCUAAGGUCCCAAAGUCAUGGUUAAGUGGGAAACGAUGUGGGAAGGCACAGACAGCCAGGAUGUUGGCUUAGAAGCAGCCAUCAUUUAAAGAAAGCGUAAUAGCUCACUGGUCGAGUCGGCCUGCGCGGAAGAUGUAACGGGGCUAAACCAUGCACCGAAGCUGCGGCAGCGACACUAUGUGUUGUUGGGUAGGGGAGCGUUCUGUAAGCCUGCGAAGGUGUGCUGUGAGGCAUGCUGGAGGUAUCAGAAGUGCGAAUGCUGACAUAAGUAACGAUAAAGCGGGUGAAAAGCCCGCUCGCCGGAAGACCAAGGGUUCCUGUCCAACGUUAAUCGGGGCAGGGUGAGUCGACCCCUAAGGCGAGGCCGAAAGGCGUAGUCGAUGGGAAACAGGUUAAUAUUCCUGUACUUGGUGUUACUGCGAAGGGGGACGGAGAAGGCUAUGUUAGCCGGGCGACGGUUGUCCCGGUUUAAGCAUGUAGGCUGGUUGUCCAGGCAAAUCCGGAUAAUCAAGGCUGAGGUGUGAUGACGAGGCACUACGGUGCUGAAGUAACAAAUGCCCUGCUUCCAGGAAAAGCCUCUAAGCAUCAGGUAACAUCAAAUCGUACCCCAAACCGACACAGGUGGUCAGGUAGAGAAUACCAAGGCGCUUGAGAGAACUCGGGUGAAGGAACUAGGCAAAAUGGUGCCGUAACUUCGGGAGAAGGCACGCUGGUGUGUAGGUGAAGUCCCUGCGGAUGGAGCUGAGACCAGUCGAAGAUACCAGCUGGCUGCAACUGUUUAUUAAAAACACAGCACUGUGCAAACACGAAAGUGGACGUAUACGGUGUGACGCCUGCCCGGUGCCGGAAGGUUAAUUGAUGGGGUUAUCCGUAAGGAGAAGCUCUUGAUCGAAGCCCCGGUAAACGGCGGCCGUAACUAUAACGGUCCUAAGGUAGCGAAAUUCCUUGUCGGGUAAGUUCCGACCUGCACGAAUGGCGUAAUGAUGGCCAGGCUGUCUCCACCCGAGACUCAGUGAAAUUGAACUCGCUGUGAAGAUGCAGUGUACCCGCGGCAAGACGGAAAGACCCCGUGAACCUUUACUAUAGCUUGACACUGAACAUUGAGCCUUGAUGUGUAGGAUAGGUGGGAGGCUUUGAAGCGUGGACGCCAGUCUGCGUGGAGCCAACCUUGAAAUACCACCCUUUAAUGUUUGAUGUUCUAACGUUGGCCCCUUACCGGGGUUGCGGACAGUGUCUGGUGGGUAGUUUGACUGGGGCGGUCUCCUCCCAAAGCGUAACGGAGGAGCACGAAGGUUAGCUAAUCCUGGUCGGACAUCAGGAGGUUAGUGCAAUGGCAUAAGCUAGCUUGACUGCGAGCGUGACGGCGCGAGCAGGUGCGAAAGCAGGUCAUAGUGAUCCGGUGGUUCUGAAUGGAAGGGCCAUCGCUCAACGGAUAAAAGGUACUCCGGGGAUAACAGGCUGAUACCGCCCAAGAGUUCAUAUCGACGGCGGUGUUUGGCACCUCGAUGUCGGCUCAUCACAUCCUGGGGCUGAAGUAGGUCCCAAGGGUAUGGCUGUUCGCCAUUUAAAGUGGUACGCGAGCUGGGUUUAGAACGUCGUGAGACAGUUCGGUCCCUAUCUGCCGUGGGCGCUGGAGAAUUGAGGGGGGCUGCUCCUAGUACGAGAGGACCGGAGUGGACGCAUCACUGGUGUUCGGGUUGUCAUGCCAAUGGCACUGCCCGGUAGCUAAAUGCGGAAGAGAUAAGUGCUGAAAGCAUCUAAGCACGAAACUUGCCCCGAGAUGAGUUCUCCCUGAGACUUUAAGUCUCCUGAAGGAACGUUAAAGACGAUGACGUUGAUAGGCCGGGUGUGUAAGCGCAGCGAUGCGUUGAGCUAACCGGUACUAAUGAACCGUGAGGCUUAACCUUACAACGCCGAAG
rnacentral:rRNA from 1 species